UACAGAGGUGGCAAGCCUUGUUCGGAAUUACUGGGCGUAAAGGGCGCGUAGGCGGUUCGUUAAGUCCUGUGUGAAAUCCCCCGGCUCAACUGGGGAACUGCACAGGAAACUAGCGGGCUUGAGUUCGGGAGAGGGAAGCGGAAUUCCGGGUGUAGCGGUGAAAUGCGUAGAUAUCCGGAGGAACACCGGUGGCGAAGGCGGCUUCCUGGACCAACACUGACGCUGAGGCGCGAAAGCUAGGGGAGCAAACGGG
rnacentral:rRNA from 1 species